UACGUAGGGGGCAAGCGUUAUCCGGAUUUACUGGGUGUAAAGGGAGCGUAGACGGCACGGCAAGCCAGAUGUGAAAGCUCGGGGCUCAACCCCGGGACUGCAUUUGGAACUGCUGAGCUAGAGUGUCGGAGAGGCAAGUGGAAUUCCUAGUGUAGCGGUGAAAUGCGUAGAUAUUAGGAGGAACACCAGUGGCGAAGGCGGCUUGCUGGACGAUGACUGACGUUGAGGCUCGAAAGCGUGGGGAGCAAACAGG
rnacentral:rRNA from 1 species